rnacentral:rRNA from 1 species
UACGAAGGGGGCUAGCGUUGCUCGGAAUGACUGGGCGUAAAGGGCGCGUAGGCGGUUCGUACAGUCAGACGUGAAAUUCCCGGGCUCAACCUGGGGACUGCGUUUGAUACGUGCGGGCUUGAGUUCGGAAGAGGGUCGUGGAAUUCCCAGUGUAGAGGUGAAAUUCGUAGAUAUUGGGAAGAACACCAGUGGCGAAGGCGGCUACCUGGACCGGUUCUGACGCUGAGGCGCGAAAGCGUGGGUAGCAAACAGG